rnacentral:lncRNA from 1 species
UUUAUGCAGAGUUAUAGGGGCUAGUGCUCAGUGUGGGUAGCUGACAGGAAGAGAGCAGUGUCAAGGAGAUGGGUGGGCAGGUCAGCAGGAGCAUCUCAUGGGAAGUCAGACUCCGAGGGAAAGGAGUUUGUGCAUGGUUUUUUUUAAAAAAUAAUUUUGCAUAUAUUUGCCAUUUUAUUGUGUGUAUAUAUAGAAGACCAUAUAGGAAAUUGAUAUUUGUAAUAGUGGAUUUGUUAAUACUUUUUACAUAACAUUACUAUUUGAAUUGUAAACAGAUUUUUUUCUCAGGAUUAGUUUGAAGAAUAAUUGAGUUGUCACUCUUAACACAUGCAGGGAAGUGAUUAGCUCUGGUCCUGUCUGUUUUCUUCAGCAUUGAAAUGACUUCAUAGAACCCUUGUGACCUGCUUCAAAAUUCUUUCCUCUCUAAGCAAAAGGUUUAUGGUGGCAAAUGAUGUUUAUUUUAUUUUGUAAAAAAGAGAAAAAUGUACUGUGUACUUGUGUAUACACUGAACAACCUCUAGCUGUCUCUCCGAAUGAACACACCUGCUCUGGAUCCAGUGCUGUUGUCUUCCUGGGCACUGGGCCGUAGCAGGCCUUGUGUGUGUUUCCUAGCAGUCUUUUCUUCCCCUCCCUCCUCUUCUUCCUCAAAGGAAACGAAAGGCCUCCCUGGGCCUGGGCUGUUCCUGUCACAGUGUGGCUGACCUCUAGCUCCACAGCCCUUGUUAGCUCGCAUGCUGGUUCCUCUGACCCUGCGUUCCAUGUGCUUGUGGCGUCCUCUCAUUCUUUCUAGGUUCCUGCUUACUGCUGUGGGAGAGAGUAACUGUAAACAGCUUUAAUGAAAUCAUACUUAUAAAAACUAUUUUCUUAUACUCCACUUUAUGCUUUUGGUAUUGUCGAUCUUUAAAAAUUAAAUGGUCUUUGAUAAUGGAUCGAUUUUUGUAUUGCCUUAUUAAGACCAAAUACUUCUUGUCAUCCCAUUCUUUAUCCUCUCCUUUAAUGGAAUUGCUGUCUUUAAUUAAAACUUUGUAAACACUG